rnacentral:tRNA from 1 species
GCACCAAUAGUGUAGCGGAAUAAUUGUACCCUCUCAAGGUACAGACCCGGGAUCGACUCCCGGUUGGUGUA